rnacentral:lncRNA from 1 species
CCAUAUCCAACGCCUUUGCUUUUUAUGGUUUAUUUCUUUUUCUUUUUUUUUUCUUUUUAAUUGCAUUUUCUUUAGAAAUUCAUAGCAAAUUUAUUUUUCAUCCAAAAAAUCCCAAAAUAAUUUCUAAAUUUUUCUUUUAAUUUUCUUCAUCUGAUUUUUCUUUUUUCAUAUUUUAUGUUCUUGCUUUUCUACUUUUCUUGGACUUUCUCUUUUUUUCUUUGUUUUAAUUGGUUUAAAAAUGCUUUUAUGCAUUUAAAAUUUCUGAAAAAAU